UACGUAGGGUCCGAGCGUUAAUCGGAAUUACUGGGCGUAAAGCGUGCGCAGGCGGUUUUGCAAGCCGGAUGUGAAAUCCCCGGGCUCAACCUGGGAAUGGCAUUCGGGACUGCAAGGCUGGAGUGCGGCAGAGGAGACUGGAAUUCCUGGUGUAGCAGUGAAAUGCGUAGAUAUCAGGAGGAAUACCGAUGGCGAAGGCAGGUCUCUGGGCUGACACUGACGCUCAUGCACGAAAGCGUGGGGAGCAAACAGG
rnacentral:rRNA from 1 species